rnacentral:rRNA from 1 species
UGAACGCUGGCGGCAGGCCUAACACAUGCAAGUCGAACGGUAACAGGAAACAGCUUGCUGUUUCGCUGACGAGUGGCGGACGGGUGAGUAAUGUCUGGGAAACUGCCUGAUGGAGGGGGAUAACUACUGGAAACGGUAGCUAAUACCGCAUAACGUCGCAAGACCAAAGAGGGGGACCCUCGGGCCUCUUGCCAUCGGAUGUGCCCAGAUGGGAUUAGCUUGUUGGUGGGGUAACGGCUCACCAAGGCGACGAUCCCUAGCUGGUCUGAGAGGAUGACCAGCCACACUGGAACUGAGACACGGUCCAGACUCCUACGGGAGGCAGCAGUGGGGAAUAUUGCACAAUGGGCGCAAGCCUGAUGCAGCCAUGCCGCGUGUAUGAAGAAGGCCUUCGGGUUGUAAAGUACUUUCAGCGGGGAGGAAGGGAGUAAAGUUAAUACCUUUGCUCAUUGACGUUACCCGCAGAAGAAGCACCGGCUAACUCCGUGCCAGCAGCCGCGGUAAUACGGAGGGUGCAAGCGUUAAUCGGAAUUACUGGGCGUAAAGCGCACGCAGGCGGUUUGUUAAGUCAGAUGUGAAAUCCCCGGGGCUCAACCUGGGAACUGCAUCUGAUACUGGCAAGCUUGAGUCUCGUAGAGGGGGGUAGAAUUCCAGGUGUAGCGGUGAAAUGCGUAGAGAUCUGGAGGAAUACCGGUGGCGAAGGCGGCCCCCUGGACGAAGACUGACGCUCAGGUGCGAAAGCGUGGGGAGCAAACAGGAUUAGAUACCCUGGUAGUCCACGCCGUAAACGAUGUCGACUUGGAGGUUGUGCCCUUGAGGCGUGGCUUCCGGAGCUAACGCGUUAAGUCGACCGCCUGGGGAGUACGGCCGCAAGGUUAAAACUCAAAUGAAUUGACGGGGGCCCGCACAAGCGGUGGAGCAUGUGGUUUAAUUCGAUGCAACGCGAAGAACCUUACCUGGUCUUGACAUCCACGGAAGUUUUCAGAGAUGAGAAUGUGCCUUCGGGAACCGUGAGACAGGUGCUGCAUGGCUGUCGUCAGCUCGUGUUGUGAAAUGUUGGGUUAAGUCCCGCAACGAGCGCAACCCUUAUCCUUUGUUGCCAGCGGUCCGGCCGGGAACUCAAAGGAGACUGCCAGUGAUAAACUGGAGGAAGGUGGGGAUGACGUCAAGUCAUCAUGGCCCUUACGACCAGGGCUACACACGUGCUACAAUGGCGCAUACAAAGAGAAGCGACCUCGCGAGAGCAAGCGGACCUCAUAAAGUGCGUCGUAGUCCGGAUUGGAGUCUGCAACUCGACUCCAUGAAGUCGGAAUCGCUAGUAAUCGUGGAUCAGAAUGCCACGGUGAAUACGUUCCCGGGCCUUGUACACACCGCC